rnacentral:tRNA from 1 species
UCCCUGAUGGUCUGGUGGUCAGGAUUCGGCGCCCUCACUGCUGAGACCUGUGUUUGAUUCCCGGCCAGGGAA